rnacentral:rRNA from 1 species
GACGAACGCUUGCGGCGUGCUUAACACAUGCAAGUCGAACGGAAAGGCCCUGCUUUUGUGGGGUGCUCGAGUGGCGAACGGGUGAGUAACACGUGAGUAACCUGCCCUUGACUUUGGGAUAACUUCAGGAAACUGGGGCUAAUACCGGAUAGGAGCUCCUGCUGCAUGGUGGGGGUUGGAAAGUUUCGGCGGUUGGGGAUGGACUCGCGGCUUAUCAGCUUGUUGGUGGGGUAGUGGCUUACCAAGGCUUUGACGGGUAGCCGGCCUGAGAGGGUGACCGGCCACAUUGGGACUGAGAUACGGCCCAGACUCCUACGGGAGGCAGCAGUGGGGAAUAUUGCACAAUGGGCGGAAGCCUGAUGCAGCAACGCCGCGUGCGGGAUGACGGCCUUCGGGUUGUAAACCGCUUUCGCCUGUGACGAAGCGUGAGUGACGGUAAUGGGUAAAGAAGCACCGGCUAACUACGUGCCAGCAGCCGCGGUGAUACGUAGGGUGCGAGCGUUGUCCGGAUUUAUUGGGCGUAAAGGGCUCGUAGGUGGUUGAUCGCGUCGGAAGUGUAAUCUUGGGGCUUAACCCUGAGCGUGCUUUCGAUACGGGUUGACUUGAGGAAGGUAGGGGAGAAUGGAAUUCCUGGUGGAGCGGUGGAAUGCGCAGAUAUCAGGAGGAACACCAGUGGCGAAGGCGGUUCUCUGGGCCUUUCCUGACGCUGAGGAGCGAAAGCGUGGGGAGCGAACAGGCUUAGAUACCCUGGUAGUCCACGCUGUAAACGGUGGGUACUAGGUGUGGGGUCCAUUCCACGGGUUCCGUGCCGUAGCUAACGCUUUAAGUACCCCGCCUGGGGAGUACGGCCGCAAGGCUAAAACUCAAAGGAAUUGACGGGGCCCCGCACAAGCGGCGGAGCAUGCGGAUUAAUUCGAUGCAACGCGUAGAACCUUACCUGGGUUUGACAUGGAUCGGGAGUGCUCAGAGAUGGGUGUGCCUCUUUUGGGGUCGGUUCACAGGUGGUGCAUGGCUGUCGUCAGCUCGUGUCGUGAGAUGUUGGGUUAAGUCCCGCAACGAGCGCAACCCUUGUUCACUGUUGCCAGCACGUUAUGGUGGGGACUCAGUGGAGACCGCCGGGGUCAACUCGGAGGAAGGUGGGGAUGACGUCAAGUCAUCAUGCCCCUUAUGUCCAGGGCUUCACGCAUGCUACAAUGGCUGGUACAGAGAGUGGCGAGCCUGUGAGGGUGAGCGAAUCUCGGAAAGCCGGUCUCAGUUCGGAUUGGGGUCUGCAACUCGACCUCAUGAAGUCGGAGUCGCUAGUAAUCGCAGAUCAGCAACGCUGCGGUGAAUACGUUCCCGGGGCAU